rnacentral:rRNA from 1 species
UACGGGAGGCAGCAGUGAGGAAUAUUGGUCAAUGGCCGAGAGGCUGAACCAGCCAAGUAGCGUGCAGGACGACGGCCCUACGGGUUGUAAACUGCUUUUGCGGGAGGAUAAAGGACGCCACGUGUGGCGUUUUGCAGGUAUCCCGUGAAUAAGGACCGGCUAAUUCCGUGCCAGCAGCCGCGGUAAU